rnacentral:lncRNA from 1 species
UAAGCCCAAGACAUGUUGGAUUGACUUACGUGGAUUAUGCUUAUAAAUUGAAGUGGUAACCUUUAUUUUUUUUAUUACGAACUUACUAAGCAUUACAUGCUUACUUUGUGUUAAUUUCUUGUGUACUUAGAUAUCGGAAGCUCGUUCGGGUUGGAAGUUGUAGGAGAUCUCAUUACACUAUUUAUCGACUAUUUUGGUAUUUUUGGCUAAAUAUUUGGUUUAAUGGCAUGUAUAGGUCAUUUUAACUAAUGAUAGCCUACAUGUUUUGUUAUGUUUGUAGCCAUUUGAUUUGGCUUGUAUUUGAGGUAUAUUAUGUAUGUAUAUAUGUGUAAA